GGCUUAUUGACUAUAAUUUUAAGUCUAUCUGCCCAAUGAUUAAAUUAUUUAAUGGCUGCAGUAUAAUUGACUGUACAAAGGUAGCAUAAUCAAUUGUUUUUUAAUUAAAAACUGGAAUGAAAGAAUAAAUGAGAUAUAUACUGUCUCAUAUAUAUUUUAUUAAUUUAAAUUUUUAGUAAAAAUGCUGAAAUUUAUUUAUGGGACGAUAAGACCCUAUAGAAUUUUAUAUUUAUAUUUAGAUUAUGAGUUUUUAUAAAUAUAAAUAUUUAAUUGGGAGGAUUAGUAAAUUUAUAAAACUUUAUUUUGAAUAUAAACUUUAAUUAAAGAAUAGUUAUUGAUCUUGUAUUAUAAAUUAAAAGAAUAAAUUACCUUAGGGAUAACAGCGUUAUAUCUUUUUAAAGAUCAUAUUAAUAAAGAUGUUUGCGACCUCGAUGUUGAAUUAAGAUAAAUUUUAAAUGUAGAAGUUUAAUAAUUAAGUCUGUUCGACUUUUAAAAUCUUACAUGAUUUGAGUUCAAAUCGACGUGAGU
rnacentral:rRNA from 1 species